UCAUGUCUGCAAGGCCAUAUAAUUUCAGGAAGGUAGGAACAAAGCUACCUAGAGGAGUAUACGAAUAAUGAAUCCGCUUACGGAAUUCCGGAAUUGCUGCUCAUAUGGUGGAGUUAAAUGUCACUAAAUAAUUUAUGUGAUGGUCAGACUAAAUGUUUUUUGGAAUUACGGAAUUUCUGGACAGUUAAAUAUACAAACAACUUAUCGCUUUUAUUGUGAUUAUAGUAUUUUUGCAUUCACCAAUGAUAAUUCUUUAUUAGAAUGUACAGGGCUGAAGCAUUUAACAUAUAUUCAAUUUGACUGCUACCAUAUUGAUCAAAUAGAACCCAAGGGAAGCAUAUGUUAUGAAUAGUCAUGUUUUGGCUCUUUCUACAACUAGGACUGUAACUGAACUUCAACUUCUGCUGCUACUUCUUUGAUAGUAGCAUAUGAUGAGUGUUUGGUUUGUGCAUGGGAGGUUGUGGAGGAAAUGGAGGGUCUGAGUAGUGCAGAGACUGAGAGGGUUGUAGUGCCAAAUGUAACUAAAAAUCAUUUGUAUAUAACUAAAAAUGAGGAUUUCAAGAGGACUGGUGAUGAGUCAUCUGUGAUCUAUUAGCCGCUUGAUUCGGUGUUGAGUGCUCAACUGCUCGGUAUCGAUGGCCUGAAGUUGUGACUUGUGUGACUGUUGAACCUUCUGUUUGCUGCCGCCAAGUUGGUAUGAAGUUUAUUCUUUUGCUUGAACUAUUGUGAAGAUAUAGCAUGUGUAUCACGAUACCUUUAGAAUCAUUUCUACCGUCACGAUGCAUGAAGAGCCGUUUGAGAGCGAGAGAAAGAUGGUUAAAUAAUAUAUAACCGAUGGUAUAUUUUCUGUGUUUUUACAUCUGUAUCCUGGAAAUACAAGAUCAAGUUCAUAGUUGACGGUGAAUGGAAAAUUGACCCGUUAGGUGGUUAACAAUGAUGGAUACGUGAAUAAUCUUCUUGUCAUUCAUGAUUGAUGUAACAAAAAAGUUGAAAAGAUGAGAAAAUAUCAGUAGAACAUAGAAGAGGAUGAAAGCAUUAGGUUAGCCACCUAAUUUUUUUUAGCCAUUUUUUCACUCUUGGCAGGGGAGGCGAAGAUGUUGGUGGGGACCGCAAUAUUUCUUAUGUGAAGAUGAUGCUUGCCUUGCCAAGAAAUUUAUUAUUUUUCAAUCUGAAUCAGAAAUGAUGCUACCAAGCUUAAGCAUUUGUAAAUCCAAUCCAUAUUAUCUCUUAUCU